CGCGCGUGCGCAGUACGGAGCGGUGUGUCGUUGUGUCUAUGGUAGACUGGGGCAAUGAGGACAAGUGAGUUUGAUUCAUCUGACGAAGAGGACUUUGGUGAAGUGGAAGCCACACCUUUUCAAAUCUCAUGGUUGUCUCUGUCAGUGGUGGAGUGUUCCCAGUCUCUUGGCAUUUGUUCCUUACCUGG